AGUGUAGGCGGUCAAGCAAGUCAGGGGUGAAAGGCAUCGGCUCAACCGAUGUAAGCCUUCGAAACUGUUUGACUUGAGUGCAGGAGAGGUAAGUGGAAUUCCUAGUGUAGCGGUGAAAUGCGUAGAUAUUAGGAGGAACACCAGUGGCGAAGGCGACUUACUGGACUGUAACUGACGCUGAGGCUCGAAAGCGUGGGGAGCGAACA
rnacentral:rRNA from 1 species